ACGAACGCUGGCGGCGUGCUUAACACAUGCAAGUCGAACGGUAAGGCCUUUCGGGGUACACGAGUGGCGAACGGGUGAGUAACACGUGGGUGAUCUGCCCUGCACUUCGGGAUAAGCUUGGGAAACUGGGUCUAAUACCGGAUAGGAACUCUGGCUGCAUGGUUGGGGUUGGAAAGUUUUUCGGUGCAGGAUGGGCCCGCGGCCUAUCAGCUUGUUGGUGGGGUAAUGGCCUACCAAGGCGACGACGGGUAGCCGACCUGAGAGGGUGAUCGGCCACACUGGGACUGAGACACGGCCCAGACUCCUACGGGAGGCAGCAGUGGGGAAUAUUGCACAAUGGGCGCAAGCCUGAUGCAGCGACGCCGCGUGAGGGAUGAAUGCCUUCGGGUUGUAAACCUCUUUCAGCAGGGACGAAGCUUUUGUGACGGUACCUGCAGAAGAAGCACCGGCCAACUACGUGCCAGCAGCCGCCGUAACAC
rnacentral:rRNA from 1 species